UAUUUAUUUUUAUUUUUUCUGUUGAAUGGUCGAGUGGAAUUGUGACAGUGUUAUCAUGAAAAGUCCUAUGUAUGAACCGCAUUGGAGCAUAUAAUGAUUAGAGAGAGGCAUUCAUAAUGCUCUAAUAAGAAGAGGAGAAGACACAUUCAAAGACUGAGAAGAAAAUAUCCAAAAGCUCUAGCUUGUAGUUAAUUAGCUUCAACAUAGCCCUAGAGAAGUUGUCCUUAAAUCUAUUAAACCAACGCAAGACAAGAUUUGGGGGCUUUCAUAAAACACAUUUCUAGUCCAUUACACUAAACACGUGAUCAACAACAAGUCCUCCUGCAACUAGAAAAGCUCUAUCUAGCUUGUUGUUCAUAAAAGGAGCUAGCAUUACUUGUACUGCUGCUCGAUUUUGUAAAUAUCAGGGGAUAGUUGUCGGCAAACCUCACACCAAUAUGAAAGGCUCCAACCUCCUCCUCAUAAGGCAACGCUGAAGCAGUUAAAGGAGAUCCCAAAAUCAAGCAAGCCUCGUCGAUAGAAACAACGCCACGGCGGCAGCGAGUACAGAAGCAGCAGCGACGGUUCAAUCCAUGUUUGGAGAUUCAGGAAACUCAGAAGAAGUUGGUUCAGCUACUUUCGACACAGUUAAAAUGUUGCAGGGGCAGAGGUCUCUUGCUUUAGAUACACCGAUUGGGGUGUGGCAGUUGCUCUUUGCAGUAAGAGCGUGGCCAUUGGUAAAUCACUGGUGUGAUUACUUGCAUGCAAACAAAACAUUCGCGAGUUUAUCAUCAUGGCAUGGGCGACAUAUGAGCACAGCUCCUAGAAUUUGCAAGGGCAAAAUAAGAAACAAGAUACACUUGUGUCAUUGAGCUUACAUAUUGUCAUUGAGUUUACAUAUUGAUUCAUUCUUUAGUGAUACUUUGUGUUUCUUGUCAGAUUCUUCAUAUUUAAUGAUGUUCCAACUUUCAGACUGUUCCAGUUUUUAACAUAAUGGAACCAACAAUUGAUA